AGUUCUACAUGUCCUAUCAUCUGUUCAUUGUGGCUUGUGCUGGAGCUGGUGCCACCGUCAUUGCCCUGGUGAGUAUCCCAGAACCACCCUAGUGUAGCAUUCCUCCCCUGCCUCUGAACCCUAGGUUUCCUUUUAGCUUUUACCAGCAGAUGAAGCAAAGGAUCUGCGUAUUCUGGUGUGGUUAACUGUUCCCUCUGUAAACUUACUGAAUGUCUAGUUUGCAGGAAGUACUAGUGGCUGCCUUGUCACCGACUGAUGCAAUUUGGACACUGGAAAGAAGAGAGGGUACCGACCCCUGCUGACUAGGCAUAGCAUGCUGCCUUAUUGCAUUUAGUAAUUAGUUCCAUGACUUCAUUCAGGGACAGAGACUCAUGUGAG
rnacentral:lncRNA from 1 species